rnacentral:lncRNA from 1 species
CUAGUCUUUAAACCCGUGCUAUCGCACGGAUGUAUUUUAUAUUUUUUUUGAAACCAUUUUUUUUUUACUAACAUUGUCUUUAAGUGCUAACUAUUCAUGUGACCCAAUAAAUAAACUCAACCCACCAAUCGUUAGUUGGUUCAUUGAUGAUUGACGCUGAACUUGAUAGGGAGAACCACGGUUCGAUCCCCCGCAACUGCGAUCGGAAAAAGGCUGGAACCACUUAAUGCCAGAACUGACCACCGAAUCAGAUUAAACUGGUGGUGAAAGGAGAAAAAAAAAACCCAACCCCAUCAUACAUGAUAAUUCAGC